rnacentral:rRNA from 1 species
UACGGAGGGUGCAAGCGUUAUCCGGAUUCACUGGGUUUAAAGGGUGCGUAGGUGGGUUGAUAAGUCAGUGGUGAAAUCCCCGAGCUUAACUUGGGAACUGCCAUUGAUACUAUUGAUCUUGAAUACCGUGGAGGUCAGCGGAAUACGUCAUGUAGCGGUGAAAUGCUUAGAUAUGACAUAGAACACCAAUUGCGAAGGCAGCUGGCUACGCGAAUAUUGACACUGAUGCACGAAAGCGUGGGGAUCAAACAGG